rnacentral:rRNA from 1 species
UGGGGAAUAUUGCACAAUGGGCGAAAGCCUGAUGCAGCCAUGCCGCGUGGGUGAAGAAGGCCCUAGGGUUGUAAACCCCUUUCAGCGGGGAAGAUAAUGACGGUACCCGCAGAAGAAGUCCCGGCUAACUCCGUGCCAGCAGCCGCGGUAAUACGGAGGGGACUAGCGUUGUUCGGAAUUACUGGGCGUAAAGCGCACGUAGGCGGAUUUGUAAGUCAGGGGUGAAAUCCCGGGGCUCAACCUCGGAAC